UUUCGCAAUGCCCGAAAGGGAGACGAAGCGACGCCGCGUGUGGGAAGAAGGCCUUCGGGUUGUAAACCACUGUCGGGAGUUAGGAAAUGCAGGUGCGUUAAUAGCGCACUUGCUUGACUAAGGCUCCAGAGGAAGCCACGGCUAACUCUGUGCCAGCAGCCGCGGUAAUACAGAGGCGGCAAGCGUUGUUCGGAAUUAUUGGGCGUAAAGAGCACGUAGGCGGCCUUGCAAGUCAGUUGUGAAAGCCUUCCGCUUAACGGAAGAACGGCAUCUGAUACUACAGGGCUUGAGUACGGGAGGGGAGAGUGGAACUUCUGGUGGAGCGGUGAAAUGCGUAGAUAUCAGAAGGAACGCCGGCGGCGAAAGCGGCUCUCUGGCCCAUAACUGACGCUGAGUGUGCGAAAGCUAGGGGAGCAAACGGGAUUAGAUACCCCGGUAGUCCUAGCCAUAAACGAUGGGCACUAAGUAGAGGGGUUUU
rnacentral:rRNA from 1 species